CAGAGAAGAUGAGGUAGAGGUUAAUGGGAAUGGCAGGUGAAGGGAGAAGCUUUAAAGAGUUUGUGAAGUUUUUGUUACUGCCGCAGUGAUGCUCGGUAUGAUGUGUGUGUGUGAGCGUGGCUGUGUGUGUGUGUGUGUGUGCGGGCGCGGUGCCCGAACACACUCUGC